GGAUUAGAUACCCUGGUAGUCCACGCCGUAAACGAUGUCUACUUGGAGGCUGAGGUUUAAGACUUUGGCUUUCGGGGCUAACGCAUUAAGUAGACCGCCUGGGGAGUACGGCCGCAAGGCUAAAACUCAAAUGAAUUGACGGGGGCCCGCACAAGCGGUGGAGCAUGUGGUUUAAUUCGAUGCAACGCGAAGAACCUUACCUACUCUUGACAUCCAGCGAAUCCUUUAGAGAUAGAGGAGUGCCUUCGGGAGCGCUGAGACAGGUGCUGCAUGGCUGUCGUCAGCUCGUGCCG
rnacentral:rRNA from 1 species